GUAACACGUGAGCAACCUGCCCUGGACUCUGGGAUAAGCGCUGGAAACGGUGUCUAAUACUGGAUAUGAGGCGUGAUCGCAUGGUCAUGUUUGGAAAGAUUUUUCGGUCUGGGAUGGGCUCGCGGCCUAUCAGCUUGUUGGUGAGGUAAUGGCUCACCAAGGCGUCGACGGGUAGCCGGCCUGAGAGGGUGACCGGCCACACUGGGACUGAGACACGGCCCAGACUCCUACGGGAGGCAGCAGUGGGGAAUAUUGCACAAUGGGCGCAAGCCUGAUGCAGCAACGCCGCGUGAGGGAUGACGGCCUUCGGGUUGUAAACCUCUUUUAGCAGGGAAGAAGCGUGAGUGACGGUACCUGCAGAAAAAGCGCCGGCUAACUACGUGCCAGCAGCCGCGGUAAUACGUAGGGCGCAAGCGUUAUCCGGAAUUAUUGGGCGUAAAGAGCUCGUAGGCGGUUUGUCGCGUCUGCUGUGAAAUCCCGAGGCUCAACCUCGGGCCUGCAGUGGGUACGGGCAGACUAGAGUGCGGUAGGGGAGAUUGGAAUUCCUGGUGUAGCGGUGGAAUGCGCAGAUAUCAGGAGGAACACCGAUGGCGAAGGCAGAUCUCUGGGCCGUAACUGACGCUGAGGAGCGAAAGGGUGGGGAGCAAACAGGCUUAGAUACCCUGGUAGUCCACCCCGUAAACGUUGGGAACUAGUUGUG
rnacentral:rRNA from 1 species